AACCUAGCGUUUCUGUCUGAGUGGUUUUAGCAUUUUCUGGGGUUUUUUUUGCUUGAAGUCCUGAGGUUGUACGUACAAUAGACAGAUGGAAAGAUAAAAGUAAAAGUCCAUCUUCUAGGAGAUCUGUGAAUAUUGUGAAGAUAGAAUGAAGGGAAAGAAAUAACAGAAAAAAAGUAAUUUUAAAAAAUUUUGCUACAGUACCUCUAUUAAUAAUAAAUACUAUUAAUUAAAAUAUUACUAAAUAAAAAUUACUAAAGACUUAACCCUUUAGCUUAACCUGUGAGCUGAGUCGCUUAAGCUUUUCAGCCUUGGUUUCCCCUUGUGUCAGAUGGGUGUCUUAAUAGUUUACAUCAAAUCAUGCCACCAGUGCCUGAGUGCUCCCAUGGGCACAGCAGGUCUUAAUUGUUACGAUUAUCAUCUUUUUCGAUCUUUUUGUUAAUUUAGAAUAAUUCUGAUUAUUUUUCAUAACAACUUGUCCAUAUUUUAUUAUUGUGUUGUUUUUCUAGAUGUGAUAUCCUCUCAGAUUUCUCUGGACUUUUAAUUAUGUACCUUUUAAAUUCUGUUUCCUCUGUUCACUUGAGUUUGUGCCACUCUUUAUUGAUGUUUCUCCGGGUUUUUUUGGUCUGCUUAUAUUUUUUUAUUGUCUCAUUUUUUUUCGAAAGUCUUAUGUUCACACUGUGACACUGGAGUGUUCCUCCUCAGCUGAUGCCCGACCCUCUUUGGUGCAUGCAUGUUCUACCCAUAGGGGGCGCUUCUGCUGACUGGACUUGGGAUGGAUAUAACAAGAAUCCAGAUGGUGGUGGUGUAGACCCCUUUUUUGAGGUUGCCACUUCAGGCCAGAGACCUGAGUGAAAAUUCUGUGGAGAAUCUUCAAGAGAAAGGACUAAGGGAUCUGUUACAUGAAGAGCUUUCCUGCUGGCUAAUUUUGGGAGAGAGAGCCAAUGCAAUAACUGGGAGUCACGAUUCUAUUGGGACUCUUCAAGGGGAAGUAUGCAAGAGCCCUGAACUAGAUCUUUCCCCAUGUCGAAAGUGGGGAGAAGCUUCUUCUCAUAUUGCCAGAAACAAGAGCCAUAUGGUGACUCUUCAAAGUAAUGGUUUCAAAAACAUAGAAAGUGAAGAAUAGUUGUCUUUGAAAGUUCCAGGCCACGUGG
rnacentral:lncRNA from 1 species